rnacentral:rRNA from 1 species
AUUGAACGCUGGCGGCAUGCCUUACACAUGCAAGUCGAACGGCAGCAUGGAAGAGCUUGCUCUUCUGAUGGCGAGUGGCGAACGGGUGAGUAAAGCAUCGGAACGCACCGUGUAGUGGGGGAUAACGUAGCGAAAGUUACGCUAAUACCGCAUACGCACUGAGGUGGAAAGCAGGGGAUCGCAAGACCUUGCGCUAUACGAGCGGCCGAUGUCAGAUUAGCUAGUUGGUAGGGUAAAGGCCUACCAAGGCGACGAUCUGUAGCGGGUCUGAGAGGAUGAUCCGCCACACUGGGACUGAGACACGGCCCAGACUCCUACGGGAGGCAGCAGUGGGGAAUUUUGGACAAUGGGCGAAAGCCUGAUCCAGCCAUGCCGCGUGAGUGAAGAAGGCCU